rnacentral:tmRNA from 1 species
CCCCUUGCAACCUGGCUCGCGAUCUUUAUAUUAGAAGGGUCAGCUUGCUGACUAUGGCGAUAAACUGUCUUACGUAAUAGACGUAGCGGACCCGGGGGCGGUACCCGGCGCCUCCACCAAAUCCCUCUCCCUUUACAGGGAAUUGGGGGCUUUCAUGGGGGCGAAUUAGGCUCGACGUGCGUUAAAAGGUCUGACUUUUGCCCGGAAAGAUACCACCGUGACGGAUCAAAACUUGAUAAAUGCCAAUGAUAAUGAAUCUAUGGCUCUUGCUGCGUAAAACACAGUAAGUGGGGUUCGAAGGGCACCUCGCAACAGAAGCCCUUCACU